rnacentral:rRNA from 1 species
AACGAACGCUGGCGGCAUGCCUAACACAUGCAAGUCGAACGAGACCUUCGGGUCUAGUGGCGCACGGGUGCGUAACGCGUGGGAACCUGCCCUUAGGUUCGGAAUAACUCCCCGAAAGGGGUGCUAAUACCGGAUAAUUUCUUCGGACCAAAGAUUUAUCGCCUUUGGAUGGGCCCGCGUUGGAUUAGCUAGUUGGUAGGGUAAAAGCCUACCAAGGCGUCGAUCCAUAGCUGGUUUGAGAGGAUGCUCAGCGACACUGGGACUGAGACACGGCCCAGACUCGUACGGGAGGCAGCAGUGGGGAAUAUUGGACGAUGGGGGAAAGCCUGAUCAAGCAAUGCCGCGUGAGUGAUGCAGGCGUUAGGGUUGUAAAGCUCUUUUAGCCGAGAUGAUAAUGACGGUACCGGGAGAAUAAGCUCCGGCUAACUACGUG